rnacentral:rRNA from 1 species
UACAGGGGGGGCAAGCGUUGUUCGGAAUUACUGGGCGUAAAGGGCCAGUAGGCGGCCAACUAAGUCCGACGUGAAAUCCCUCGGCUCAACCGGGGAACUGCGUCUGAGACUGGAAGGCUUGAAUCCGGGAGAGGGAUGUGGAAUUCCAGGUGUAGCGGUGAAAUGCGUAGAUAUCUGGAGGAACACCGGUGGCGAAGGCGGCAUCCUGGACCGGUAUUGACGCUGAGGCGCGAAAGCCAGGGGAGCAAACGGG